UCUGGCCCUGCCCCCUUUGCCUCUCCCAAAAGUUAUUCUCCGCCUUCGUGAAAUAAAAACGUGAAAACUCCUCCCUCCCCACUUCCACCAGUCCCAGAAGACCCGGGGGAUGGACUGAAGCAUGUGGCUAAAGCGGCGUGUGUUGGACAAAGCAUGAGAAAACGCUGAUCUCCUCUGAGGCAAAAAUCACAGGCUUGCAGGAAAACUAGAUUCCGUACAAAGCUCCCUCCUUUUUUCCCCUAGAGCCACACAAAAACUCGGAAGAGAGGGUGGGCUGUAGCAGCACGUGACCAAACCGACGAACACGCCGAAGGGCAGCCCGUGGUUCCACACCAAUGAAAGGAGGGCAGGGUUUCCCUGGCAUCUGGCCCCGGGCAGCCGGCAGGGACUCGCACCGCGCCACGCGAGGGGCUGCCAGUCCGGACUUUAGGGGUGUGCGGCAGGGGAAGGACGGCACAGCGCACAGCACAUCAGUCGGUUUGCAGGAUGACAAGUGUGUUCCUACAGUUGCUUCUAAGGAGUCUUUAAACGUUUGUGGAAAUACGGAAGGAAAAAAAAAAGAAAAAGAAAAAAAAAAAGGCAGGGCGCGCUCCGACUGCUCCUUCACCGCUCAGGUUUAAGGCCCUUCGGCUCCAUCCGGCUGGACAGGGUCAGCUCGAGGGCCCGGGCAGCAGCUGAGAGCUCGCAAGGGGCACAACGGUCUGAACUGGGGCGGGGGAUACGGGACCCCAGAGGCCCUGCUAUGUCUCUUUGUGUCUCCAUCGCCACCUUCACAAAAGGAAUUUUAUAAGACCUGAAACACCCUAAAGGCAGCUGACUUAUCCUGGCAGACCCCACAGCACCUCACUCCAAGCCUGUACCAGCUAUUGAAUCUGCCAGCAAGAAGCUGCUUCUCCUUCUCCAGUGUGAUGUCUCUUCUAUACUCACCAGCGUAGUAACACCUAGUGACUUCACCGGAGCUGUGACAGCCGACAGACAACCACUGCUACAUGUUUUGUGACCCUGUGGAAUAUUUAAGAGAUGCCACUGAAAAUUUCAAUGUCAUUUGUCACUUGUCAAUAUCAUUGAGAAACUUGCUUCAAAGGUUAAAUCAGCCUGGAACAAACCCCUUUGGAAACUGACCAAUGACAUCCUAUUGUAAGUCGCUAAUAUUCUAAUGGACGAGACAAGGUGUUACACAGAUAAAAAAUUCCAU